rnacentral:lncRNA from 1 species
AUGGAUGAAACUUAAAAUUGGUUGAACUCUUGUUUUCACUAUAAAAAAUGAUGGCCGUUGAUGUUUUCAAACGUUUUUGAUGAAAUUCUUGAUUUUAUUUUGGAAAUCGGUUGGUUUUGAUAUAUAUUUGGUUUAGUGAAAUUUGGAUUUGAACUAAAGCUUUUGUUACUAUGUUAGUCAACUGAAUGCACUCACGCAGUCAACCGAUAGAGUACCUAAUGAAUUAUUGCUUCGGUUUCUUGAAUGAUCGACUGUGCUUGUAGACCGCCACCAUCAAUACAGUCUAGGUCAACUGACCAUGCUGUAUUUUAAAAGCUUAAGCUAGUAAAGAACGGUAUUUAAAUAUUUUUAUAUUUAAUACUCUCCCUCACGUCUGGGCUCGAGACAUUUCCGCAAGGCUUAUGAUGUAGACUUAAUUAAACUAGAGGAAAUUAAUAAUGCUAGGAGCCUAGUAUAAUUCGAACUCAGAACCUCCUACUUUGAUACCAUGUGAAAUAGCUAGCCGUUGUACUUAAGGACCUCCUACUUUGAUACCAUGUGAAACAGCCGUUGUACUCUAAGGACCUCCUAGUUUGAUACUAUGUGAAAUAACUAUUGUACUUUAAAAUCUUAAGUGUGGGCUCGAGACUUUUUGCAAGGCUCAUGAUGCGGACUUUGAAACAACAAUUGUACUCUAAAAGCUUAAACUGUUAGAUAAUGGUAUUUAAAUGUCUUUAUAUUUAAUAGCCCGAACUUCUUGUUUCUUUUGUAGUAUUCCUUGUUAACAUCAUUAGGAAUUGUGGAAAAUCUUUUUCAUUAAUUUAAUUGUGGUCUUUAUCUUCUUUUAACUUAAUCGAGAAUCGCUGUGCUCUAUUUUACAAUCAGAGCUAUCUCUUAGAGUUAUGCAAAAUAAAUAAAAAAUUAUUCUCCUUGUAAAAUUAUUUCAAUGAUCAUUUAUUGUUCAUAUCUAUCGGCAUGAAAGUUUAUCU